rnacentral:rRNA from 1 species
CCUACGGGAUGCAGCAGUGGGGAAUAUUGGACAAUGGGGGAAACCCUGAUCCAGCGACGCCGCGUGAGUGAAGAAGUAUUUCGGUACGUAAAGCUCUAUCAGCAGGAAAGAAAAUGACGGUACCUGACUAAGAAGCCCCGGCUAACUACGUGCCAGCAGCCGCGGUAAUACGUAGGGGGCAAGCGUUAGCCGGAUUUAUUGGGGUAAAAGGGUGCGAAGGCGGACGAUCAAGUCAGCGGUAAAAUUGAGAGGCUCAACCUCUUCGAGCAGUUGAAACUGGUUUUCUUGAGUGAGCGAGAAGUAUGCGGAAUGCGUGGUGUAGCGGUGAAAUGCAUAGAUAUCACGAAGAACUCCGAUUGCGAAGGCAGCAUACCGGCGCUCAACUGACGCUCAUGCACGAAAGUGUGGGUAUCGAACAGGAUUAGAUACCCCAGUAGUC